rnacentral:rRNA from 1 species
UACGUAGGGUGCAAGCGUUGUCCGGAAUUAUUGGGCGUAAAGAGCUCGUAGGCGGUCUGUCGCGUCGGCUGUGAAAUCCCGAGGCUCAACCUCGGGUCUGCAGUCGAUACGGGCAAACUUGAGUGUUGCAGGGGAGACUGGAAUUCCUGGUGUAGCGGUGAAAUGCGCAGAUAUCAGGAGGAACACCCGUAGCGAAGGCGGCACUCUGGGCCGGUACUGACGCUGAGGAGCGAAAGCGUGGGGAGCAAACAGG